rnacentral:rRNA from 1 species
GCAAGUCGAACGGUAACAUAGGGAGCUUGCUCCCUGCUGACGAGUGGCGCACGGGUGCGUAACGCGUAUACAAUCUACCUUUUACAGGAGGAUAGCCUUUAGAAAUGAAGAUUAAUACUCCAUAGUAAGUGACAAUGGCAUCAUUGAUACUUUAAAGCUUCGGUGGUAAAAGAUGAGUAUGCGUUCUAUUAGCUAGAUGGUGUGGUAACGGCACACCAUGGCAACGAUAGAUAGGGGCCCUGAGAGGGGGAUC